rnacentral:sRNA from 1 species
UUCAGUAUUUGUUCUAUUACAAAAACAUAGAUUGUUCCCACAUUCCAUCCCAAAGUACUCCUUCAUCACUUGGUUAGCAACAAAGAAUCGGUUGUCAACAGCAGACAGAAUGCGGAAGUGGAAAGGCAAUGCAAAUACAACUUGUGUCUUUUGUCAGGAACCGGAGGAGACGAGAGAACACUUGUUCUUCUUGUGCCCAUACACGUUUCAGAUAUGGGAUGAGCUCACAAGAGGGCUGCUUCUAGACAACUUCACGGCAGAUUGGAAAGAGCUUCUAAAGUUACUCAUGGAACGAAACAUAGACCAAACAAAGACAUUCAUUCUUCGGUACGUGUUUCAAAACAUCAUUCACUCCUUGUGGCGGGAAAGAAACAACAGGAGGCAUGGAGAGCAACCAUCACCAACUGCAACACUAGUCAAGAUGAUCGAUAAGAACAUCCGAAACCGGCUUAGCACACUUCAGAGGGGAGACAAUUAAAGUAUGAAGAUGGCAUAGUCCUUUGGUUUGCAACAAGAG